rfam:Caenorhabditis remanei strain PB4641 contig1.4, whole genome shotgun sequence.
AUCACGGUGACCGAGUGGUUAAGGUAUGGGUAUAUGACACCCAACGGGGUUCACCCCUACGCGGGUUCGAAUCCCGCCCGUGAGC